rnacentral:rRNA from 1 species
UACGUAGGGGGCAAGCGUUGUCCGGAUUUAUUGGGCGUAAAGAGCGUGUAGGCGGCCAUGUAGGUCCGUUGUGAAAACUCGAGGCUCAACCUCGAGACGCCGAUGGAAACCAUGUGGCUAGAGUCCGGAAGAGGAGAGUGGAAUUCCUGGUGGUAGCGGUGAAAUGCGCAGAUAUCAGGAAGAACACCCGUGGCUAAGGCGGCUCUCUAGUACGGUACUGACGCUGAGACGCGAAAGCGUGGGGAGCGAACAGG